rnacentral:tRNA from 1 species
CGCGGGAAUAGCUCAGUUGGUAGAGCACAACCUUGCCAAGGUUGGGGUCGCGAGUUCGAGCCUCGUUUCCCGCUCC